GUGGAACUUUGUAAAGGCUUCGUAGUGGAUCCCUAGCCAUUCACCUCGGUAGUUUUUAAGGGUCUAGCUAACCCUAGUGACAUGGGAUACACGACUUGUGGGUACAGGGUACAACCUCUGCAGAGUGUAAAACUAGUAUACUAGCCGUGCUCGUGAUCAUGAGCAGCUCAGGACUCUCGCAUGAUUAAUUUAUGGAAUUAAAUUCAAUUUGUCAUAUGCAAUUCAUUGCGGGUGUUGUUAUCAAUUUUGAUCUAUUAUUACUCUGGUUAGGUAUCUACUUGCACUUAGUAACUACUAAUAAAAUUUUGACCAACUUUAAAAGCAAUGCUCAGCUUUAAUCAUUCUCUUUGGUAAGCCUUACACUUCACAUGAGCUCCCACCUUUGGCGAGUUUAUGCACAUUAUUCCCCACAACUUGUUGAGCAAAGAACAUAUGUGAGCUCACCCGUGCUGUCUAACCACCCCCCCACAAGUCAAGAACAGGUACCGCAGGAUGAGGCGCAUGGAGGAUGCUGAGAUGUGUUCGUGAGAGGUCUAGACCGUCGUCUCCCAGUCAGCUUGGGGUUGCUGGAUCGUUGUCUUCAUAUGAUGUAAUUAUUUAUUUAUUUUAUACAGAACUCCUAUUAUAUAGUAAAGAUGUG
rnacentral:lncRNA from 1 species